GGAGGAAAGUAGGGGAUCGUAAGACCUUGUGCUUUUGGAGCGGCCGAUGCCUGAUUAGCUAGUUGGUGGGGUAAAGGCUUACCAAGGCAACGAUCAGUAGUUGGUCUGAGAGGACGACCAGCCACACUGGGACUGAGACACGGCCCAGACUCCUACGGGAGGCAGCAGUGGGGAAUUUUGGACAAUGGGCGAAAGCCUGAUCCAGCAAUGCCGCGUGAGUGAAGAAGGCCUUCGGGUUGUAAAGCUCUUUCAGUCGAGAAGAAAAGGUUGUGACUAAUAAUCACAACUCAUGACGGUACCGACAGAAGAAGCACCGGCUAACUACGUGCCAGCAGCCGCGGUAAUACGUAGGGUGCAAGCGUUAAUCGGAAUUACUGGGCGUAAAGGGUGCGCAGGCGGCUUUGUAAGUCGGAUGUGAAAUCCCCGGGCUUAACCUGGGAAUUGCGUUUGAAACUACAAAGCUAG
rnacentral:rRNA from 1 species